ACUUUGUACAGAGCAGAGAGACAGAUAGGAAAACAGGUUGGAAAUUGCCUUGUAGAUCACUUUUCCAUCCCUUCCAUGUUCACAGGAAAAGAAAAUAAAAACAAAAUGCAAUCAACAGGGACAGGGAAGAAAAGAGUUGCUGCAGAGUCUGAGCCUCCAGAAGCUGGAAUAGGAAAGAAUGGAACCAUUCAAGCAUCCCCUGGUGUGGUGGUCCUUCCUCAGCUCCCUGCAAUUGGUCCGAUCCUGCGUCUCACCAAGCACACCCUUGUGCCAUCUCUCAGGUGAGAAUUUCCCAGGGCGUUGCCAUGUGAGAACACCCCUGCUGUGGUGGAGUGAUCAGGUGCUUUGUCAUCAAUUUCCAUGGAGAAUUUUCAUCUCAAUCCUGGACUGGAGCCCUGAGUGUGACAUGACAGCUGCUGUGCUGCAGACCGAGGAGUCACUGUUUCAAUGGGACAAGAAAGGUCGUUACAGUCACUCUGGAUCUUACAGGAACUGGACAGGCUUAGCUGACCCUUAAUUUGCCUUCUGU